rnacentral:rRNA from 1 species
UACGUAGGGGGCAAGCGUUGUCCGGAUUUAUUGGGCGUAAAGAGCGUGUAGGCGGCCAGGUAGGUCCGUUGUGAAAACUCGAGGCUUAACCUCGAGACGUCGAUGGAAACCAUCUGGCUAGAGUCCGGAAGAGGAGAGUGGAAUUCCUGGUGUAGCGGUGAAAUGCGUAGAUAUCAGGAGGAACACCGGUGGCGAAGGCGGCUUUCUGGACAGUAACUGACGCUGAGGCGCGAAAGCUAGGGGAGCAAACAGG